rnacentral:rRNA from 1 species
GACGAACGCUGGCGGCGUGCCUAAUACAUGCAAGUCGAACGGUUUAGUUCCAAGAGGCUUGCCUUUUGGAACUAGACAGUGGCGGACGGGUGAGUAACACGUAGGCAACCUACCUGUCAAACCGGGAUAACCUCGGGAAACCGAAGCUAAACCCGGAUAAGCUCCUUUUUCGCAUGAAGGGGGAGUGAAAAGGUGCGACCUGAUGACAGAUGGGCCUGCGGCGCAUUAGCUAGUAGGUAGGGUAACGGCCUACCUAGGCGAUGAUGCGUAGCCGACCUGAGGGGGCGUACGGCCACACUGGGACUGGGAUACGGCCCAGUCUCCUACGGGAGGCAGCAGUAGGGAAUCUUCGGCAAUGGGCGAUAGCCUGACCGAGCCACGCCGCGUGAGUGAGGAAGGCCUUCGGGUUGUAAACCUCUGUUGUUUGGGAAGAAGGGAAAGGGUAGGACCCUUUGGUGACGGUACCAAACGAGAAAGCCCCGGCUAACUACGUG